CAGCGGAAUUGGCAUCCUAU
rnacentral:snRNA from 1 species